rnacentral:rRNA from 1 species
UACGUAGGCGGAUAAUUAAGUCAGAGGUGAAAUCCUGCAGCUCAACUGUAGAAUUGCCUUUGAUACUGGUUAUCUUGAGUUAUUAUGAAGUAGUUAGAAUAUGUAGUGUAGCGGUGAAAUGCAUAGAUAUUACAUAGAAUACCAAUUGCGAAGGCAGAUUACUAAUAAUCAACUGACACUGAUGGACGAAAGCGUGGGGAGCGAACAGGAUUAGAUACCCUGGUAGUCC